rnacentral:rRNA from 1 species
UACGUAGGUGGCAAGCGUUGUCCGGAUUUACUGGGUGUAAAGGGCGUGCAGCCGGGCUGACAAGUCAGAUGUGAAAUCCCGCGGCUCAACCGCGGAACUGCAUUUGAAACUGUCAGUCUUGAGUACCGGAGAGGUCAUCGGAAUUCCUGGUGUAGCGGUGAAAUGCGUAGAUAUCAGGAGGAACACCGGCGGCGAAGGCGGCCUGCUGGACCGCGACUGACGUUGAGGCUCGAAAGCGUGGGGAGCAAACAGG